CGCGCGAGAGUGCAGUUGCGUGUAGCGAGUCGGCAGGAACAGUUGUACUCUGUCUGUAGUAGUAGUCAGUCGGCAGUAGUAGUAGCGAGUGGACGGCGUACUGAGCAGGAGUCGGCAUGCGUCGGCGGCGUGCUCUUCUCGCGACUCUGGUCACGAUUCGGGAUGUAAAAGGUUUUCGUACCUUCGCCAGAAGAUAUAAAUGAAGAUCAAGAGGAUAUGGCUGCAUCUUCCAGUCCUCCAGCACGAAAAAUCAGAAGAGCAGAAAUGACUCUGUUCUACCAAUGAACCAGUUACUACAGACGCUCAGACAUUUUGCCUAUGGUGAUUUCUUUCUGUCCAUUGGAGACUUUAUUGGUAUUGACAAAGGGACAGCAAGCAUGAUUAUUAAAAGGAUUUCUAUGACACUGGACAACAGG